rnacentral:tRNA from 1 species
UGUAAUGUGCCUGAUUAAAGGAUAAUCUUGAUGUGAUUAAUAAAGUGUUUUCACC